AUUGAACGCUGGCGGCAGGCCUAACACAUGCAAGUCGAACGAGUGGCGGACGGGUGAGUAAUGUCUGGGAAACUGCCCGAUGGAGGGGGAUAACUACUGGAAACGGUAGCUAAUACCGCAUACCAUCGGAUGUGCCCAGAUGGGAUUAGCUGGUAGGUGGGGUAACGGCUCACCUGGGCGACGAUCCCUAGCUGGUCUGAGAGGAUGACUAGCCACACUGUCACUGUGAGACGGUGCAGACUCCUACAGGAGGCAGCAGUGGGGAAGAUUGGAGAAUGGGCGCAAGCCUGAGGCAGCCAUGCCGCGUGUAUGAAGAAGGGCUUCGGGUUGUAAAGUACUAUCAGCGAGGAGGCGUUACUCGCAGAAGAAGCACCGGCUAACUCCGUGCCAGCAGCCGCGGUAAGAC
rnacentral:rRNA from 1 species